GGCCCCAUCGAUUAGGUGGUUAGAGUUUGGCUGUACCAAAGCCUUUCCCUUGCUGUCGUGGGUUCGAAUCCCACUGAGGUCG
rnacentral:tRNA from 1 species